rnacentral:lncRNA from 1 species
AGAAAGGUAUGUCUUUAUGUUUUGUCUUUAUGUAUCUGUCAUGUAGGCUUUCGCAGCAAGUAACUAUUUUACUAAUGAAGAAACCAAAAAUUCGACUGUUUUUGCUUUCAACUAGCAUCCUUAAACUUACAUUUUUUUUCUUCAAAGGCAGCUGUAUAACAUGGGAAGACAAGAAGAUCCUUUUGACAUUUUGUGAAUGUUACAAGAGUGUAGCAGCAAGUAGUCCUACUGUCCCACUGGCAUGGGUGAAGGAGAACUAGCUCAAGCCUUUGCCUGGCUCUGAAUUUGUUUGGAUGUUUUCAUUCUUUCAAAGUGGACGUCUGACCUUGGAGGGAGUAACCGAGAUCUGAAGCAGCAGUGCAGUAAUUCUGUCAGUUCUGUCAGCAGUUUCCUACAUUGCAAAACCUGACAAAUCUUUCUGCCAGCAUCCAGAAUUAGUCUCUGGAAGAUCCUAUCUGGCAACAGUGCAAGAGAUGAACAGCCUUUGCUUUGCAUCAAGGCAGAACUGCAAGCAGAGAGUUGGUGCUCCUACACAGACACAAGUUUUCCCAUGUGCUGCCAAUACCUUGCUGUUUAAUUCUAUAUACGCAUGAAUAUGUAUGUGUAUGCUCAGAAAAGAAUCACAGAAUGAAGAAAUCUCCAGGAGAUAGAGUGAAGAGCGUGACACAGUGAGAAUGACAGAUAUAGUCUUUGUUACGUUUUCAUUUGAAACACAGUUUAUCCAAGAAGAUAACAGAUACAAAAGCUCCAGGAAACUCUUAUGAGACAUGGGAAGGUGUAAACAGCAUUCUGUCACUACUCAGCACCUGAUUAGGCCUAGCAGACCAAUGCUUAUCUCUUUGUUAGCAGUAAUCUAUAAAUCUGUCUGAAACACUGAGGGUUCAUGCAUUUUUGCUCAGCUAUACCCCACAGUCCUGUUAAAAUCAAUUUGAAGACAGAAGUUAGCCCUAAGAAAGAGGUGGCAAGAGUCAUUUCUGUCUUGGUGGUUUGUUGUGGGAUAAAGCAUGAUUAUACAUUUAAACUUUUAUUGCUGGCAUUCAGAACCACAUGGGCAGGCAUAGAAUUUCAUGAAUGUAGUUAUGAUCCUGUUUGUAAGUGGAUUUCAACCCACAUGUUCUGAGUGUCUGUGAUGAGUUAUGUCAUUACAUUGUGUUGGGACUGCACCUGAAGGGAGAAUGGGAUAAGUUUAAGGUUGGUAUAUUUUAUGUUUAGUUUUUGUUGUCUCCAAAUGAAUAAAUGCUCUCACAAACCAUGCA